rnacentral:rRNA from 1 species
UACAGAGGUCCCAAGCGUUGUUCGGAUUCACUGGGCGUAAAGGGUGCGUAGGCGGUCGGGUAAGUCUGGCGUGAAAUCUCCAAGCCUAACUUGGAAACUGCGUUGGAUACUAUCCGGCUCGAGGAAUGGAGGGGAGACUGGAAUACUUGGUGUAGCAGUGAAAUGCGUAGAUAUCAAGUGGAACACCAGUGGCGAAGGCGAGUCUCUGGACAGUUCCUGACGCUGAGGCACGAAGGUCAGGGGAGCAAACGGG